UUAGUUAUUAUGAUCACUCAAUUAAUAUUCAUUUAGUCAAGUGAAUUUAUGUUAAAAGGUAAAUAAAUUAAUUAAGAAAAAAUCUAAGACCAACAAUUUUUGUGUUUUGUGGCUAGCACUUAACCAUAAAAAAAAGUGAGUGAUCUUCUACUUUUCCAACUCUUAGCUUGAAACCUUUUUCCUUUUUUCCAACUCUUGGCUUCAAACCUUUGUGACUAUAAAUACAUGAUUAUUGUGUGGCUCUAUGCAAAACCAAAACUGUUCUAUUAUAUUCCUAAUAAUCAUAAUAAGAUGAUGAAGCCCAUUUUUGUUGCAUUUUUGCUUUUGGCUUCCCUAAUCUUCCUUCCUUCUUCAACUCUAGCUGCUCGAAUACUAGCACACAAUCAGCGUGUGAGUGGGAGAAGCGUUGUUAAUAAGGGUAUUGGAUGUGAUCCUUCGAAUCCUAACAAACCUUGUUAUCCGCCCAGGCCACGAUGCAAGAACCCCUACAGGCGUAAAUGCUACUCGCCACCGCACAAUAAUUAAGCUCCGACGAGAAACUAAUUAAGCCACUUGUUAAAGUUUUUUCAAUACAUUAAAUAGUAGGUGAAUUCUUCCAAACCCAUGGCAAAUUUGUGGGUAAGUUACCCUUGCACAUGUGUCUUUAUCUCAGCUAUUGAUCAAUAAAAUUUUUAACCUUUCAUUAAUUGAUGCAUUAAAUAUUUUCACACUACAUUGUAUUUUAUAUUAUUUACAUUAUACCCCAUAACUUUAUUAUACUUGAUGCAAUACACAAAUAGUUGAUUUUACAAAUCUCUCCCCAAAUACCAUACAAAUCAAAACCUUCCCCAAAUACCAUUGAAAUGUGUACAGCUUCUUCUUCUACCUCUCAAAAGACACUUCAAAAGAUCUCACUUCUUCAACCUCACUGCUUCUUUUACCCUUCUAUGAUCUCACUUCUUCUUCUUCUCUAUCCUUCUCCACAGCUGCUUCAUCUACCUCAGUGCUUCUUCUACCCUCCCCUUAACUUAAGCGUUUGAUUUUUCCGACGACCCACUCGGUGAACCUUCCCCGAAAUACCGCCGUAAUGUCUACAGCCUGUUUUUCUACCUCGUUCCUCUGAUUUCUAGGUCAGUCAUCGUCAGGGACAGAUUUUCUCGAACCCCCUGGAAGACCCUGCCUUCUGCGUCUUCGUCCAGGGUUACGCGGGUGUCAUUUUCUGUGAUUUACCGUCGAAGAACGUAAGUGAUCCCCUUGCUAGCAAGGUUCCGGUGACCCACGUGCAGAACGCUCUCGGAAAACCCUUAUCGAUGGCCAGCGAUGCAUGCUCCUCAAACACGAGACGAGGAAUAGGGGGAGCCGGCGGACAACGGGAACUAAGAGCUGGAAAUGCAACCUCAAGUUCGCUCCAACCUCAGGAUGUAAUAGAUGGUGUGGCCCCAAAAUGCUUCUGCGAAAAAUAUGCCAUCAGUUACAUGUCGAAGACAGACACCAACCCAAAUAGGUUAUUUUUUGGAUGCCCAUUAUUAAAGGUGACAGAAGCACAUUGCAAGUUCUUUCUCUGGGUUGAUGACCACAUUGUUAGGGUCAGAGCGGGGGAGGCUACAAGGGGAUCGGGUGACGGGAAGCAGAGUGAUGUUGGAAAAUACUUGGGAAUGGAUAACUUGAUAGACCAUGUAGAGGAAAGAAUAGCAAAACUGGAGAAGCUGCUGAACAAGAAAAGUAGAGAAGCAGAGUUGAGGAAAAAGGGUAGAGAAGCAGCUGCAAGAGACAUGGAUGCUUCAUCAAGAACGUCUACUAAUUAGCUGCAAACCAGAACCCGAAGCACCUCGAUUAGCGACGUGGCCGUGGAGGUAGAGUGCAAGCUGGAGUUUGUUCAUGGAGUUCUAAUGGCUUAUUGCAGGUUUUACCGUCCACUGGACUAGGUCCUGUCAUCGUCCAACAAAGCAGUGGUGUAUACAAAUGUUCUCUUAAAACCCAGGGCCAUCAUUUCAAGUCUAUCUAAAAGUAAAGUGGGCUAUCUAUCAACUUGGGCCAGCUACAAAAACAAUUAGUGGAUAAUUCAAGUCAGGAUUAAUGCAGCAACUGGCUUGAAACCUGUUAAGCCCAACUCUGUCCGGAAUUUUAAAGGAAAACCAAGUUUUUCCAGACGACGACUUCGAAGGACAAGGGUAAGAGAGUCCAAGAGAUUGAUAAUGGUACGACACAAAGCUACAAGAUGAGGUUUCUGAAGCCAAUAAUAAGGCCUUCAAUGUUCAAACUGUCAUUACCUAUAACUCCCGAUCAGCUACCAAACCGUACCCCCUACCUGGACCUGGUUGUUCCUGACGGAAGGAAUAACCCCUGUAGGUGCUUCUGGACACAGCUCCAAAGUGGGAAAAUUGCAUUGACUCGAGGCUGGGAGGAGUUCUAUCAGAUGUACAAGAUCAAUCUGGACUCCAUGCUAUAUUUCACACACAAAGGAAACUCCACUUUCCAAGUUAGGAUUUUUGAUUUUGGUGGUAUUGAGAACUCGUACCAACUCCGUGAUCCUGAAGAACCACCAUAUAUAAGGACUGGUAAUUAUGAAAUUGCAAAGUGUAUCAACAUCCCUCCUUCAGCCAGUGCUAGAGCGGUUGCCGCAAAGGUCAAAAGCAAGUGGCCUUUCUUUGUGAUGGACCUAACUGCUCCCAUGAUGUCGUCGAGAUUAUUGCCGAACGUCCCUCAUCUCAGUAACUUCACUGGUCAGAGACACCGUCUCAUCCUCACACACGGCCACAUACAGGUCGAAGCUACAUAUACAAGGUAUAGUGAAAAAAGGGAUGGAAGCUUCGGCGUCAUUUCUGGAGGAUGGGAGAACUUUGCUUCAUUGUGCAACUUCAAGCCAGGCGGCGUGGGUGUCUUCGAGGUGAUAUCAACGGAGCCAGUGACGAUCAUCCAGGUCAGAUGCAGAUAGGAUGCAGAAGGAUGAGUGACUGAAGGCGCUUAGCCCCUGUGUUUGACCUCAGUGUCAAAAUAUAUCAUGAUACGACUUUUGCAUUAGGUUUAUAUGUGUUUUGUUUGUUGAACAGUUAUAAUGACUUUUUUUUUUUGGUGUUAUGAAAUUGAAAACAACUUUUGGUAGUAACCCUAAAACAAAAUCGCAUUCGCAAAUGAUAUACUUUUCUGCUCGUUUUUUUAAUUGAGUUUUCCAUUUUAACUUGAUUGGACAGAAAUUAGUUUUCCAAGUACAAAAGGCAGAGUUGCCUUAAUUUUUUUAACUAUGAUGUAUAGCCGGAAUAAAUGUUUGAUGGCCUUUACAAAAAUUUAUAAAAAAAAUCUGGCCCAAUAGGCAUGGAAGAAAACAAAACCUCGUAUCUUUUUAUGUGAUGCUAUCCCUUAUAUGUUGGGCUUUAAAUUUACAAUGUAAAGGGGGUUUUUUUUAAAAAAAUUGAUUUUAUUUGACCUCAAAAUGUUAAAGAAAAAAAAGUAAAUCGAGAAACAUGAAAACACCGGUAAUGUUUGAAUGAAGUCGUAUGUGAACACUUUUUGUUUUUUUUAACUUGGUUUAAUGAGAAAUGUUUUUCUUUUUUGACACAUGAACAGAAUAGUAAAAAUUUUUUAGGCCCAAUCAAUGCGUAAAAUAGCCCAACCGUCGUUUAUUUUAAUCAAGCAAGGGUGGGUAAUUUAUUGUUGUUGGGCUUGGAUCUCAGUUGGGUCACUGGUCUAGAGUGGAGUGUCUGCCUUUUUUUUUUAAUUAUUUUGCAGGUCCAGCGCAUAGAUAAGAAGCGGUGGAUCUUGAAGAGAAGAACGAGAACCACUAAUUGCCGAUUCUAAUGAGAUAAGACUUUAUCCACAUCCAAUAUCACUCUAUCCAACACCAAGCGAGGGUUCUACAAAUGGGCAGAUUCUCUUCAACCCCAUCAACGCUCGUGAGGUUGAGGUUUUCCCUAAUUUCUUUAAUCGUCACAAUUAGCGGUAGUAUCAUGGAUGCCCUGAAUCGACUCACAGGAUGGUUUGUUUCUCGCUAAAUCAAAGUGGCUCUUUCGUCGAUACGAUGAUUGUGUUCGGGAAGCAGUGUUCUUUCAAAGUGUUGCUGGGUGGACAUUUGUGUUCCAAGAUGCACAUUGGUUGAUGAAAUUGACAGCAAUGGGGUUGCCGUCGCCAUUCAGAUCCUGGAAACUGCAUUUACAUGUGAAGCCACUCAAUAACCGAACCCAAAGCAGCCAACACGUCUGACUAUGAAGGUAAGACAAUGGCGUGAUGGUUGUAAUGUGAAUAAAAUUUUAAGGGUUACUAGGUUAGGCUCUUUUAAUACAAUGUUGUCGGAGUCAAUAUUGUCGGAGAUACCAGCGGGUGACGGAAAAAAGUUUUGACUCAGAAAAAAUAUAGAUGCUCGUGUAUGUUUGAAUGAAAGUUGGUAUGGAGUUGUUGGUUUCUUAGCGCUAAGGCUUGGGUAUUUUGUUGUUUUUUUGUACACUGGUAAAUCCAUGAUGAAUUCCUUAUGACACUACUGAGUGAAUAUAUGAUUGAAUUUUCGAGGUUGAUCGGUUUCCAUCACGAGCAGUGGAUGUGGGAAAUGAUUUUCCGUAUCACUUCCUGCUGGUCGUUAUGAAAACAUUUCAAACUUGACUACUCAAACUUUGAUUCGCUCAAAGUGGAUCACAAAUAAUUCGUAUAAGGAUUUAACAUGUACUUGAAAACCACAAAAUAUCCAUGUUUUAGUCCUAAGAACUCAGGAAGUGCAUACCAACCUUCAUUUAACCAUACACUAUCAUCUACAUUCUUCCGUCUGACUUUCAUUCCGUCACCAGUUGGUAGCUCCGACAAAAUUGGAGUUGAUAAUCAUUCCCACUUGGUUUUGUCUCGAGUAAUUCAUAAUUUUCCUACGUAGCGGAACACCGUAUAUGUUUCACGAACAGUUGUACUUAUACCUUUUCCACAUACUUAUGCACGGAAGACAAAAGCAAAAUAUUAACUAACCGUAUCUCAUCUCAAUGCACGACGAGGAUGCGCGAAGGGAACAGAUGACGUUGCUUCUCCCCCAAGAGAUCAGGAAGAUGGUGAAAAUGAGAAGGACCAUUCCCAAACCAACUUAGGCACUUGAGCUGCGGGACCGAUUCAUUUUCCCACGGAAGAAAUCCGUCUAAAGGUGGAACACUGGGAAAGAAAAUUGAUGAAGAACCUAGAACCCAAAGGCUAAAGGGUCCUAAUACUAAACAAUGUUACGGAUGCUGGAUGACUACAUUCUGGAAAUAUUCAAGCUCUCAAUGCCGGGAAGGAAAACCCUGCCUGUCAAAGUAAAAUCAUGCCGUAGUCAAGUAGCUGAGAAGAUAGAAAUCUUCGUUAUUGUACAACUUAAAGGAAAUGUCGGCAGUGUUUCAAACAUUUAUUGUUUCUAGUGUUAAAUUCAGUCAGUAUGUAAGAGUCUAACAACCUCAAAAUAUUAUUGAACCUAACAAUCGAAAAUAUGAUA